UGCAGCACCCAUGGGCCGGAAUCUCA
rnacentral:piRNA from 1 species